rnacentral:tRNA from 2 species
GCCUCCGUAGCUCAGGUGGAAGAGCACGGCACUCGUAAUGCCGGGGUAGCGGGUUCGAAUCCCGCCGGGGGCU